rnacentral:misc_RNA from 1 species
CGGAUGUAGGAUUCGUCUGUUCUACUAAAUUCUUUCAUGAAGAUUUUUAUUCAUUCAAUGUGUAAAUUUGGUAUUCUGGAUAUCCAUGACCAAUUCCACCAAGAUCAUGAAGUCCGACCGCUUCCAAUCAUUACUCGACGGUUUUCAACAAUUGGAAAUCUCAUAUGCAGCAUUCUUUCCACUCUCAUCUGUUGAUGCAACUGUGCAUAAUCCCGUCAUUAAUGA